GGAAAAUGGUCCCUGUUGUUCU
rnacentral:siRNA from 1 species